GCGCAGAUGGUCUAAUGGCUACAAUUAUGUACUACAGGACUAAUUGCCAUAAAUGAUUUUGGCCUUCCAAGCCGACGAUCCGGGUUCGAAUCCCGGUCUGCGCA
rnacentral:tRNA from 1 species